rnacentral:rRNA from 1 species
GACGAACGCUGGCGGCGUGCCUAACACAUGCAAGUCGAACGGAGAUUGCAUUUAUGUAAUCUUAGUGGCGAACGGGUGAGUAACGCGUAGACAACCUACCGCUUAGAUGGGGACAACACUGGGAAACUAGUGCUAAUACCGAAUGUUGUAUUGAAGCUGCAUGGUUUUGAUACUAAAGAUGGCCUCUGAAUAUGCUAUCGCGAAGUGAUGGGUCUGCGUCUGAUUAGCUAGUUGGUGAGGUAAUGGCUCACCAAGGCGACGAUCAGUAGCCGGUCUGAGAGGAUGAACGGCCACACUGGGACUGAGACACGGCCCAGACUCCUACGGGAGGCAGCAGUGGGGAAUCUUCCGCAAUGGACGAAAGUCUGACGGAGCAACGCCGCGUGGGUGAAGAAGGUUUUCGGAUCGUAAAGCUCUGUUUUCAGGGACGAAUGUGCAGAUUGUAAAUAAUGAUUUGUAAUGACGGUACCUGAGUAGAAAGCCACGGCUAACUACGUGCCAGCAGCCGCAGUAA